AGAGUUUGAUCAUGGCUCAGAUUGAACGCUGGCGGCAGGCCUAACACAUGCAAGUCGAACGGUAACAGGAAACAGCUUGCUGUUUCGCUGACGAGUGGCGGACGGGUGAGUAAUGUCUGGGAAACUGCCUGAUGGAGGGGGAUAACUACUGGAAACGGUAGCUAAUACCGCAUAACGUCGCAAGACCAAAGAGGGGGACCUUCGGGCCUCUUGCCAUCAGAUGUGCCCAGAUGGGAUUAGCUAGUAGGUGGGGUAACGGCUCACCUAGGCGACGAUCCCUAGCUGGUCUGAGAGGAUGACCAGCCACACUGGAACUGAGACACGGUCCAGACUCCUACGGGAGGCAGCAGUGGGGAAUAUUGCACAAUGGGCGCAAGCCUGAUGCAGCCAUGCCGCGUGUAUGAAGAAGGCCUUCGGGUUGUAAAGUACUUUCAGCGGGGAGGAAGGGAGUAAAGUUAAUACCUUUGCUCAUUGACGUCACCCGCAGAAGAAGCACCGGCUAACUCCGUGCCAGCAGCCGCGGUAAUACGGAGGGUGCAAGCGUUAAUCGGAAUUACUGGGCGUAAAGCGCACGCAGGCGGUUUGUUAAGUCAGAUGUGAAAUCCCCGGGCUCAACCUGGGAACUGCAUCUGAUACUGGCAAGCUUGAGUCUCGUAGAGGGGGGUAGAAUUCCAGGUGUAGCGGUGAAAUGCGUAGAGAUCUGGAGGAAUACCGGUGGCGAAGGCGGCCCCCUGGACGAAGACUGACGCUCAGGUGCGAAAGCGUGGGGAGCAAACAGGAUUAGAUACCCUGGUAGUCCACGCCGUAAACGAUGUCGACUUGGAGGUUGUGCCCUUGAGGCGUGGCUUCCGGAGCUAACGCGUUAAGUCGACCGCCUGGGGAGUACGGCCGCAAGGUUAAAACUCAAAUGAAUUGACGGGGGCCCGCACAAGCGGUGGAGCAUGUGGUUUAAUUCGAUGCAACGCGAAGAACCUUACCUGGUCUUGACAUCCACGGAAGUUUUCAGAGAUGAGAAUGUGCCUUCGGGAACCGUGAGACAGGUGCUGCAUGGCUGUCGUCAGCUCGUGUUGUGAAAUGUUGGGUUAAGUCCCGCAACGAGCGCAACCCUUAUUCUUUGUUGCCAGCGGUCCGGCCGGGAACUCAAAGGAGACUGCCAGUGAUAAACUGGAGGAAGGUGGGGAUGACGUCAAGUCAUCAUGGCCCUUACGACCAGGGCUACACACGUGCUACAAUGGCGCAUACAAAGAGAAGCGACCUCGCGAGAGCAAGCGGACCUCAUAAAGUGCGUCGUAGUCCGGAUUGGAGUCUGCAACUCGACUCCAUGAAGUCGGAAUCGCUAGUAAUCGUGGAUCAGAAUGCCACGGUGAAUACGUUCCCGGGCCUUGUACACACCGCCCGUCACACCAUGGGAGUGGGUUGCAAAAGAAGUAGGUAGCUUAACCUUCGGGAGGGCGCUUACCACUUUGUGAUUCAUGACUGGGGUGAAGUCGGAACAAGGUAACCGUAGGGGAACCUGCGGUUG
rnacentral:rRNA from 1 species